rnacentral:rRNA from 1 species
CCUACGGGAGGCAGCAGUAGGGAAUUUUCGUCAAUGGUCGCAAGCCUGAACGCGCAAUGCCGCGUGAACGAGGAAGGUCCUCUGAUCGUAAAGUUUUGUUGAAGGGGAAAAAGAGCGGAGAGAGGAAAUGCUUUCUCAUUUAUAUUACCCUUCGAGGUAGUCACGGCAAACUACGUCCAAGCAGACGCGGUAAUACGUAGGUGGCGUGGGUUAUCCGGAAUGAUUGGGCGUAAGGUGUGCGUAGGCGGCCUGCUAAUUCUUGAGUUAAAGGUACCGGCUAAACCGGUACAGGCACUGGAAACUGGCAGGCUAGAGAGCAGGAGAGGGCGGUGGAACUCGAUGUGUAGCGGUAAAAGGCGUAGAUAUAAGGAAGAACACCGAUUGCGAAGGCGGCCGCCUGGCCUGUUAACGAACGCGGAGGCACAAAGGCGUGGGAGCAAAUAGGAUUAGAUACCCCAGUAGUC